rnacentral:rRNA from 1 species
ACGAACGCUGGCGGCGUGCUUAACACCUGCAAGUCGCGCGGUAAGGCCUUUCGGGGUACACGAGCGGCGAACGGGUGAGUAACACGUGGGUGAUCUGCCCUGCACUUCGGGAUAAGCCUGGGAAACUGGGUCUAAUACCGGAUAUGACCUCCUAUCGCAUGGUGGGUGGUGGAAAGAUUUAUCGGUGCAGGAUGGGCCCGCGGCCUAUCAGCUUGUUGGUGGGGUAAUGGCCUACCAAGGCGACGACGGGUAGCCGACCUGAGAGGGUGACCGGCCACACUGGGACUGAGACACGGCCCAGACUCCUACGGGAGGCAGCAGUGGGGAAUAUUGCACAAUGGGCGAAAGCCUGAUGCAGCGACGCCGCGUGAGGGAUGACGGCCUUCGGGUUGUAAACCUCUUUCAGCAGGGACGAAGCGCAAGUGACGGUACCUGCAGAAGAAGCACCGGCUAACUACGUG